rnacentral:rRNA from 1 species
UACAGAGGGGGCGAGCGUUGUUCGGAAUUACUGGGCGUAAAGGGCGCGUAGGCGGCCAGCUGAGUCAGACGUGAAAUCCCCAGGCUCAACCUGGGAAUUGCGUCUGAUACUGGAUGGCUCGAAUCCGGGAGAGGGAUGUGGAAUUCCAGGUGUAGCGGUGAAAUGCGUAGAUAUCUGGAGGAACACCGGUGGCGAAGGCGGCAUCCUGGACCGGCAUUGACGCUGAGGCGCGAAAGCCAGGGGAGCAAACGGG